AAUGGGAAAAAUAUAAAGAACGAUGACUAUAUUACGAGUGAAAAAUAAUUUGGCAUAAGAUGCAGAAGAUCUUUCUAAUUCAUCGUCUACGUUCUCUUCAUCUUCUAAUUUAGAAGAAGAUCUUAUCUCUGAAAAUCGAAGAAAGAAAUGCGAAGUACGAGUUAGUCACGCACGUUCCUAUUUUCGAGGAAAACUGUGGAACGACGUCGUUCAAGAUAAAUGACAUUCUUCUGGUUAAAAGACGAAAAGUGAAUAGAUCGACAAGAAUCCGUAGGAAGAAGGUAACUUAGAAGACGCAAAAAGUGAUCGUACAUUAUUACAACCACAACUAUAAAUUUGUAAUGAUAGUAACGGUUACAUAAUUGACGGGCCGCCCCUUCCUGAGCAAUAACUUUAAAAUCCCACGUAUUACACGAUACUAAUCUAUGUGUGUCGAGUAUGUGUGACGUCGAACAGAUAGAGUGAAUUAAUUUAGCUCAUAUUCAACGAGGGUGACAAACGACAAACUCAUAUUGUACACCGAAGCCCUGUAACAUUCACCUAAAACCACGAAUACGUACAAGAAAAUACGAUAUUCAAGGCUAAGAGAACUCUUGGCUCCUCCUGUAUCCAAAACGAAAAGGAAGGACGGGAGAUAAAUGAGAACAUGAGAAAUCCGGGAUUUAAUUAAAAAAAGACCAAAAAAAAAAGAAAGAAAUACCUACACCGAACUUACCCGAGUAAUUUUGAUCAGAACCAAGAUUUUAAGUGAAAGUUAAAAAGACCAAGGUAGUUACAUACAUGCUACGCAAGGUCACUUGAUAGUAGCUCUAUAUCAAAAGUUAAUGCGUUUAAAAUGGCGCCACACACGCAGCAGUGUGUCUGCUUGCUCGUGUUCUGAACUAAAUACAUAUUUACGUUGAAGGAAAUAUUUCUUAAGCCAUACACAGACAUAUAUAUAUAUACAUAGAUACAUACACACGUUUCUAAAGGUGAUCAAAGGAAGAACACGUUUGUUCGCUUCGUAUUAUAUAAAAUAAAUUAAAAAAUAAGAGAACGUAUUUGUAAAAGAAAAAUACGCAACAAACUAUUUCAAAUCGUAUGGAUAAUAAGAUGAUUGAGUAUUGAAAUAAAAAUUAGGGAUUGAUGAAAUUAUAUACCUGAAUUAAAGGAAACUCUUUCUCUCUC
rnacentral:lncRNA from 1 species